UCAUGGCUCCGGAUGAACGCGGCGGCGUGCCUAAUACAUGCAAGUCGAGCGAACAGACGAGGAGCUUGCUCCUCUGACGUAGCGGCGGACGGGUGAGUAACACGUGGGUAACCUACCUAUAAGACUGGGAUAACUCCGGGAAACCGGGGCUAAUGCCGGAUAACACAUGAAACCGCAUGGUUUCAUGAUGAAAGACGGUUUUGCUGUCACUUAUAGAUGGACCCGCGGCGUAUUAGCUAGUUGGUAAGGUAACGGCUUACCAAGGCAACGAUACGUAGCCGACCUGAGAGGGUGAUCGGCCACACUGGAACUGAGACACGGUCCAGACUCCUACGGGAGGCAGCAGUAGGGAAUCUUCCGCAAUGGGCGAAAGCCUGACGGAGCAACGCCGCGUGAGUGAUGAAGGUCUUCGGAUCGUAAAACUCUGUUAUUAGGGAAGAACAAGGAUGUAAGUAACUUGCAUCCCUGA
rnacentral:rRNA from 1 species